rnacentral:rRNA from 1 species
UACGGAGGAUGCAAGCGUUAUCCGGAAUGAUUGGGCGUAAAGCGUCCGCAGGUGGCUAUGUAAGUCUGCUGUUAAAGAGUGAGGCUCAACCUCAUAAGAGCAGUGGAAACUACAUAGCUAGAGUGCGUUCGGGGCAGAGGGAAUUCCUGGUGUAGCGGUGAAAUGCGUAGAUAUCAGGAAGAACACCGGUGGCGAAAGCGCUCUGCUAGGCCGCAACUGACACUGAGGGACGAAAGCUAGGGGAGCGAAUGGG